GGGGUCCCGGUGCCGGUACCGAGGCUGGGACAGUCCCAGUGUGAAGUGUGGCGGGGUCCCGGUGCCGGUGCCGGUACCAAUGGCAGCGGGACCCUGGUGCCGGUGGGUUGCCGGAGCUGGUUCCCGGUGCCGAUCCCGGUGCCGAUCCCGGUGCGUUCGCAGCGCGAGGAGCAGCAGCGGAAGGAGCAGGAGCGGCAGCGGGAGCGGGAGCAGCGGCGGCGCUGGGAGAGGGAGCGCAUGGAGGAGGAGCGGCUGCAGGCGGCGGAGCGGGAGCGGCGGCUGCAGGAACGGGAGAGGCUCAUCGAGGAGCGGCGGCAGGAGCAGGCGCGGCUGGACGCGGAGGAGCGGAGGAAGGAGCAGGAGCGAUGGGAGCAGCAGCAGCGGGAGCAGGAGGCGGCCGAACGGGAGCGCGGGGGUCGCACCGGGCUCAGCGGCACUGCGGCCGAAGCCGCAAUCCUGGUCUCCCAGCGCACCCAGAACCCCCGGGAAUUCUUUCGGCAGCGGGAACGCUCGGGCUCCACGUCCGCAUCCCCCCUGCCCGGCAGCACCCCCGGUGGGUGGCAUGGAAGGGUUGGGGGGCACGGGGGGGUUCUGGGGGUCCCUGCUGACCCCACCCCGACCCCGCCAGGUGCUCGCCGGCCUUUCCUGCGGUACCAGCGCAGCCUGACGGAAUCCGCCUUCAUCUUCC
rnacentral:lncRNA from 1 species